UUUUCGUACCACGGCGAGGCCGGAUUCCUGUUUUAUCAUGAAUAUUCAUUAGGCAGGGUCGGGGAAAGUCUCGAUUCUCUUAAAUAUUCAUAUCGAGGUGGGAAUGCACGACGCGCGCUAUACUCGCACAAAGUGAGAAGAUUUAGUUCACGGAGAAUGCAUAUGGAUUGAAACUGAAGAGCUGGAAGGAGGACAUUACAACAUCUCUUAUAUUUGCAAGAUGAAGCAGAAAGUCCCAUGCAGGAUGAUGCCUCUCUACAGUGGAUGAUGAAGGCAUUCUGGUUUGCAAACUCAGGAGAGGAACAAAGAACAGAUGUUGACGGGAUCCUAUCUAGAGAUGCGGGCCUACUACACUUCAUACGAGCAAGUGUGCUAAUAUACAUGAAGGUACCCCCAAUAAAUUUUUGUGGAACAAAUGUCAUGGAGAAAAUUAUAGAUCUGAAACAGAUAUUUUUCAUUGUCAGUUGACUUGUAAAAGAAUAAUUGACUUAAUAUCACAAUUGUAAUUUAGAUUAAAAAUUAAAUGUCAAUAUAGAUAAAAUAUAAGUCUACAUUACGUAUGUUUCAGUAGCAUUAUUUCCAGUACAUUCGCUGGUCAAAGUUGUUUGGUCAUUUUAUGUCCCAUACUUAACCGAGUAUUAUUCAAUUACCGGUAUGAGCACGAGUUGUAUUACAUUGUAUUACUUAUUUCAUACCUUGUCUGAUCCGAGCUCCAGCAGGCCUAUCGUCUUAAUGGGAUCAUCAGUAAUAAUUUAAGAUGCGGUCAGUAUUUAAACUAGUCUUGUACAAAAAAUAGUUUAGGUUUGCCCACUAGAACCCCAAGUGAAUUUCAGUCCUUCCUUUUUCUGAGCAGGUAUCAGGGUGUAUGUUAUUAGUCAUUGUUGAUU
rnacentral:lncRNA from 1 species